GCCAGCGACGAUUGCACGUUGAAUGCGCCAGUUCUCAAUGGACCACUGAAGUUAAAUAACGUUGCGCAUGGUUGGUAUCAACGUGGAUCAACAUCUGGACUUUCUGGGACAGUUGCAUACU
rnacentral:rRNA from 1 species